UACGUAGGGGGCAAGCGUUGUCCGGAUUUAUUGGGCGUAAAGAGCGUGUAGGCGGUUUGGUAGGUCCGCUGUGAAAACUCGAGGCUCAACCUCGAGACGCCGGUGGAAACCAUCAGGCUAGAGUCCGGAAGAGGAGAGUGGAAUUCCUGGUGUAGCGGUGAAAUGCGCAGAUAUCAGGAGGAACACCAAUGGCGAAGGCAGCUCGCUGGGACGUGACUGACGCUGAGACGCGAAAGCGUGGGGAGCAAACAGG
rnacentral:rRNA from 1 species